GGGGCUGUAGCUCAGUGGUAGAGCACUUGCCUUGUACAUGUGAGACCCUGGGUUCGAUCCCCAGCACCA
rfam:Ictidomys tridecemlineatus contig026775, whole genome shotgun sequence.